AAUUAUUAUUAUUAAUUUUUAAUUGGAAAUGAAAUGUUAAUCGAUUUUAAAUAUAUCUAGUUUUUUUAGAAUUGAAUUUAAUUCAGCUUUAAAAAUUGAAUUUAUUUUUAUUUGGAUAAAAAUUAAAUUUUUAUUUUAAAGUAAUUAUAUUCGGGAUAAAUUGAGUAUAAUAAUUAUAAAUUUUUGUAAUUUAAUUUUAUAAGUGGUAAUAAAAUUAUAUUUCUUUAAAAAAAAUGUUAAAAUUUAUAUUAAAAAAAAUUGUUGUUUAAAAUUUAUUGUUAAAUUUUAAUUAUUUAUAAAAAAAUUAAUGAUUAAUUAUAAUUUAUAAAUUAUAAUGAUUAUAUUAGUAAUAAGAAUUUGUUUAAUUAGUUAAAAAUUUAUUAAGUUAAUUUAAGGAAUUUGGCAAAUAAUAAUUUAUAAAGUAAUUUAUGUAUAUUUACCUGUUUAUCAAAAACAUGUCUUGUUGAAAUUUGAAUAAUAAGUCAAUUCUGCCCAUUGAAAAAAAUUAAAAGGCUGCAGUAUAUUGACUGUACAAAGGUAGCAAAAUCAAUAGUUUUUUAAUUGAAAACUUGAAUGAAAGAAUUCAUAAAAUAUAAGCUGUCUCAAAUUAAUAUAAAUGAAUUUAAAUUUAAAGUUAAAAUGCUUUAAUAAAUUUAUUAGACGAUAAGACCCUAAGAAUUUAAUAAUAUUUUUUAUUAAUCUAAUAAUGUAAAUUUAAUUUAUAUAAAAAAUAUUAGUUUAUUGGGAGGGUAAUUAAAAAUAUUAAACUUUAAUUUUUAAAAGA
rnacentral:rRNA from 1 species